GAUGAACGCUGGCGGCGUGCUUAAUACAUGCAAGUCGAACGGUGAACACGGAGCUUGCUCUGUGGGAUCAGUGGCGAACGGGUGAGUAACACGUGAGCAACCUGCCCCUGACUCUGGGAUAAGCGCUGGAAACGGCGUCUAAUACUGGAUAUGUGACGUGACCGCAUGGUCUGCGUUUGGAAAGAUUUUUCGGUUGGGGAUGGGCUCGCGGCCUAUCAGCUUGUUGGUGAGGUAAUGGCUCACCAAGGCGUCGACGGGUAGCCGGCCUGAGAGGGUGACCGGCCACACUGGGACUGAGACACGGCCCAGACUCCUACGGGAGGCAGCAGUGGGGAAUAUUGCACAAUGGGCGCAAGCCUGAUGCAGCAACGCCGCGUGAGGGAUGACGGCCUUCGGGUUGUAAACCUCUUUUAGCAGGGAAGAAGCGAAAGUGACGGUACCUGCAGAAAAAGCGCCGGCGAACUGCGU
rnacentral:rRNA from 1 species